ensembl:misc_RNA 7SK 7SK RNA
GGAUGUGAGGGUGCCCUGGCUGGCCAAGCAGGUGUCUCCUUCCUCGCUCACCACCCCUUGUGCCUCUCUCCCAGAGCUGUUCAUGCGGUGGAGGGGACGACCCACUCCCACACAGGAGGUCUUUGUCCUUGGACAGUGGUGUGCAAGGAGCUGUGCUUCCCUGCUAGACCUUCCAAACAAGCUCUCCACCAAAAAAAAAAAAAAAAAAAAAAAAAAAAAAAACCACAAAAAAACUAGACAAUU